AUACGUAGGGAGCGAGCGUUGUCCGGAUUUACUGGGUGUAAAGGGUGCGUAGGCGGCAAUGCAAGUCAGAUGUGAAAACUAUGGGCUUAACUCAUAGAUUGCAUUUGAAACUGUGUUGCUUGAGUGAAGUAGAGGCAGGCGGAAUUCCCGGUGUAGCGGUGAAAUGCGUAGAGAUCGGGAGGAACACCAGUGGCGAAGGCGGCCUGCUGGGCUUUAACUGACGCUGAGGCACGAAAGCAUGGGUAGCAAACAGGAUUAGAUACCCUGGUAGUCCAUGCCGUAAACGAUGAUUACUAGGUGUGGGGGGUCUGACCCCUUCCGUGCCGGAGUUAACACAAUAAGUAAUCCACCUGGGGAGUACGACCGCAAGGUUGAA
rnacentral:rRNA from 1 species